UGCUUAUCCGAUUUGGGUAUAUAUAUAUAUAUAUAUCGCACAUUCGUGGAGCUGAACACAGAGUGUAAAGGUAACACAGCUUGUAAAGGUAACACAGUUUGUGCUUGUUUCAUGGGUGGUUAGGUUUUUUCUAUAAAUUCAAUAAUUGAAACUGCAAGUUUUCAAUGAGUGAACAGCAAAAGUGAUACUGAUUAUGUUCUUAGUUCUUCUAUUUAUCAGUGUCUUUGACUUCAAGUCUGAUACAAUCUUCAUACAAUAUCAAGUUCACUCUGAUUGCUGCUUUGAUGUUAAUUACAUUAUAUUUUGGCAUUGAGUUACAUCUUCUGCAUUAAAGUUAUGACUAUGCAAGAUGGCAAGCUAUAAUGGAAGAUACAUAUGUUGGGCUUGCAGAUAUUGUGCACCAAGAAUUAAAUCUUCCUGUUAUAAAUGGAUCCUUUACCGAAGGUGUUCAGGGUUCUUUUGAAGUUUGCAAAGGGAAGCCAAUCAUAUCCAGAGUACUCUUUACUUUAUCAAUUCAGAGAAGUGGAAACAAGAAUGGUUUAGCGUGCAAGAACUGGAUAUUUUCUGUUGGAGAAAGCUCUGGGAACGUGCUAAGGUACAAGUAGCAAGGUACAUGCUGACCUCCAAAAGUACCUCUGCAGCUUAUCGUUAAGCCCCUUUCUAGUAAGAUGUCUUGUAUGUUCAUGAAAAUAUCAAAUAUUGAGACUCUUUUUCUCAUUAUGUUACUUGGUGCUUUCCUUCUGGUUCUCAUUAUCUAAUAUUUCAUCUUUUGAUUUUGACUCAGAUAUUUAUCCAUAAUGUACUUUGUCAUGGCAUAAAAGGACACUGGUUUCUCAGGCAAGUCAAUGAAAAUUAAGUAAUGUAUCCAAUCCCUUCUUUUCUCUGACCCCGUUUCUCUUGAUUCAGGACUCACUUUUCUGAGAUGUCGCUUCUGGCUUAUGUUGCUGAUGGCAAGACAAACAUAAAUUCUCCCUCCACACUUUCUUUAUUUAUGCUGGUGUUCCCUUCCUCUUCUUGUUUUGCCACUUUUGACCCUAACAUCCCCAUAAUUAGUAGGCUCAUGUUAUGCAAUGUAAUUUUCUAUCCUCUUACCCAUUUAAACAUUGAAGGAUAGUCCUAUAGCCACCUGAUAAAAAAUUCCUUUACAAUCUAUCUGGCAUUUACCGUUCAUAAUCUUCACUUACUAAUUCAUCAUCUUCACUUUAGAAAGAUUGUUAAAAUGGUCAAAAAAAAAAAAAUUCCAAAGACCCUCCUCCAAUAACUAGGACAAGACCUGUUGAGUAUGGCUGUGAUUACUAAAUCCACAUACACAUGACAUGCAAUGCUUCUAACAGUUCCAUCUAUGCGUACAGGUUGUACAUUAAACAAUCCAUUCCAUAAUAAAGAUUAAUCGAAUUUUUUGAGGAUACGGUGGUGAUUCAAAUUCCAUUAAUAAAAUUCAUGCUUUGCAUCUAUAGCUGUGUUUAGAUCAUCUAGAUUGAUAUAGUCAAAGAGCUGGUGUGCUCCUUCUGUGGACAAGAUUUUAUGUUUCUUAGGCAGAAGCAGUCAUGCAGUGUGUUCCUGAAAAGAAGGAAACGUGUCACCAAAUUGCUACUUCUAUAGUGUCAGCUAAUAUGGUUUCCUCCCCUGAUUGUUGAUUCAUAACGUGCAUGUGCCUGUGCUUUCUUAGAGCUGUUCUCUUAUUUACGUUUUUAUAUGUGUGCUUGCAAAGAAAAGUCUGUCAUGCAAUGUUAUAGGCAAUGAAACAAAAUAACCUAUUAUACAGCUUGUUUUAAUUAAUACUUUGCUCUUAAUAAGACGUCUUUUUGUGAUAUCAUGCAUAAUUCUGUCAUACUAUAAAUCUAGGUGAAUGAUAUUCGGUUACAACUGAGCAUAAUGUAUUUAAGCUAUGUGUCGUAUAUUAUCAUCCAUUGAAUAUUCAGUUAUGUUAAAGCUGCAUAUGCAUUGUUAUUCUUGACAUUACAUUUUUUUUAGUUUGUAUUUAGCCAAAGAGAAUUACAAGUUCUGAGAAAGGAUCUUGGAACGUUAGUAGUCUUGACAAAAAUAGUUCAGUUUGGAGAAGGCUUGAGGGUUUGGUUUUAGUUUUAUUUGUUGCACGCAUGCAACAAUAUACAUCGUGUGGAAUUUCUUGGUGGUCCUUUGCAAUUAUUUCUAGGUUUGUUUGGUACCUCGCGCGUAUGCGCUGCUUCUCUAGCCAGGUUGAGGGUUCGGUUCAGAUCUUCCUUGAUUUUCUGAGGUGGUGUGUUGAGAUCGUAGCAACUAGGAUGAUUGGUAUUCGUGCCGCCUAUAUUAUCUACUAUAUUUGGCUGUUUAGGAAUAGUUUGGUGUUUGAUUCUAGGAGAUGUCUGACUAAAUUUAUUGUAGAGCAAACUCUUAUCCUGACAACAGAGCUCACUGAUGUGAUUUUGAGAUCCUCUGAGAUUUGAGACUCCCAUCUUGCUUAUGAAAAUCUCUUCGUAGGUCAAUUUCGAUGGUAGCAUCAGAAAUAAGAAUGGAGGUGCCUGAUUUAUGAUCCGUGGAUCUCCUUUAAAACUUGUGGUAGUAGAGAGUGGUCACCUUUUUGAACCUACGAUUUCCAGUAUUGAGCUUCGAGCAGCUUGGGCGAGGAUCAUUUAUGUGCGGCGGAUCUUGCGAGCUUGGGCGAGGAUCAUCUAUGUGUGUUAGAUAUUAGAUGGAUGGAUCGGAUGGCCGCGUUUGUGGAGCACUUUAGGAACAUGCUUUGGAUGGAUGUGAGGACAACCCCAAGGCUCCUCAAGGAUAAUUUGUUUUUUUAAUUCUUUGAAAUAUAUUUAUACAAAAUUUAUAUGAAUGAUCCAUCUUUACCAAAAGAAGAAAAAAAAAAAAAGCUGAUGUUUCG